rnacentral:rRNA from 1 species
GACGAACGCUGGCGGCGUGCUUAACACAUGCAAGUCGAACGGAAAGGCCCUGCUUUUGUGGGGUGCUCGAGUGGCGAACGGGUGAGUAACACGUGAGUAACCUGCCCUUGACUUUGGGAUAACUUCAGGAAACUGGGGCUAAUACCGGAUAGUAGCUCCUGCUGCAUGGUGGGGGUUGGAAGGUUUCGGCGGUUGGGGAUGGACUCGCGGCUUAUCAGCUUGUUGGUGGGGUAGUGGCUUACCAAGGCUUUGACGGGUAGCCGGCCUGAGAGGGUGACCGGCCACAUUGGGACUGAGAUACGGCCCAGACUCCUACGGGAGGCAGCAGUGGGGAAUAUUGCACAAUGGGCGGAAGCCUGAUGCAGCAACGCCGCGUGCGGGAUGACGGCCUUCGGGUUGUAAACCGCUUUCGCCUGUGACGAAGCGUGAGUGACGGUAAUGGGUAAAGAAGCACCGGCUAACUACGUG